UUUUAGGACAAAGGGAGAAUCGCUGAUACCGUCGUGCCAAGAAAAGCCUCUAAGCAUAUCCAUAGUCGUCCGUACCGCAAACCGACACAGGUAGAUGAGAUGAGUAUUCUAAGGCGCGUGAAAGAACUCUGGUUAAGGAACUCUGCAAACUAGCACCGUAAGUUCGCGAUAAGGUGUGCCGCAGCAAUGCGGUCUCAGCAAAGAGUCCCUCCCGACUGUUUACCAAAAACACAGCACUUUGCCAACUCGUAAGAGGAAGUAUAAGGUGUGACGCCUGCCCGGUGCUCGAAGGUUAAGAGGAUGCGUCAGUCGCAAGAUGAAGCGUUGAAUUGAAGCCCGAGUAAACGGCGGCCGUAACUAUAACGGUCCUAAGGUAGCGAAAUUCCUUGUCGGUUAAAUACCGACCUGCAUGAAUGGCGUAACGAGAUGGGAGCUGUCUCAACCAGAGAUUCAGUGAAAUUGUAGUGGAGGUGAAAAUUCCUCCUACCCGCGGCAAGACGGAGAGACCCCGUGGACCUUUACUACAACUUAGCACUGCUAAUGGGAAUAUCAUGCGCAGGAUAGGUGGGAGGCUUUGAAGUAAGGGCUUUG
rnacentral:rRNA from 1 species